rnacentral:rRNA from 1 species
UACGAAGGGGGCUAGCGUUGCUCGGAAUCACUGGGCGUAAAGCGCACGUAGGCGGCUUGCUAAGUCAGGGGUGAAAUCCUGGAGCUCAACUCCAGAACUGCCUUUGAUACUGGCGAUCUUGAGUCCGGGAGAGGUGAGUGGAACUGCGAGUGUAGAGGUGAAAUUCGUAGAUAUUGGGAAGAACACCGGUGGCGAAGGCGGCUCUCUGGACCGACACUGACGCUGAGGCGCGAAAGCGUGGGGAGCAAACAGG